AUUUCCUCCCCCAAAGUUCACAUGUUCUUCUUCUUGUUCUUCCUCCGGUAUACUUCUGUUCUCAUUUCCCGAACCAUGCUUCCCCGUGUCUUUCGACUUUCAACCCCGUCAGCACCGCAGCGACUCUCUCUCUCUCUCUUCCCAUUUCUCAAACGACUCGUCGUCGCACCCCUCUCACUCUGGGGAGACUCCAAAACGAUGCCGUUAUGGGCCCCACUCAAGCCAACCCUCAACACCAAGCCCCUCAACAUAACCGUCUCCUCGCUCUGCAAGGCGAAGCAAAUCCCCAAAGCCAAAACGGCAAUCGUCGAUGGCAUACGACUUGGCUUGCUCCCCGACGCGGUCACCUACAACCCCCUAAUCGACGCCUACUGUCGUUUCGCCACCCUCGAUGUUGCUUACUCCGUCCUCGCGCCAAUGCACGACGCCGGCAUUCCACACGACAUCGUUUCUUUCAACAUGCUGAUCUCUGGCGCAGUCAGAAAGUCUCUCUUCUCGAAGUCCCUCGACCUGUUCGACGAAAUGCUCAACAGAGGCAUAUGGCCCGACGCGUGGAGCCACACCAUUUUGAUGCACUGUUUGUUCUAAUUGGGAAAGCCCGACGAGGCAAAUCAUGUUUUCAAAGAAAUCGUGCUCCGCGGCGAGGUUCACGCCACUACCUACAACGUUAUGAUUAAUGGUUUGUGCAAGAACGUUUACGUAGGCAAUGGUUUGAGCUUGUUCAGGAAUUUGCAGAGACAUGGAUUUGUGCCGCAGGUUUUGACCUACAAUGCGCUUAUCAAUGGGCUCUGCAAGGCGAGGAGGCUGAAGGACUCGAGGAAAGUGAUGAAGGAGUUCGGAGAGUACGGCUACGAGCCGGAUGCGGUUACUUAUACUACUGUCAUGACGUGCUGUUUCGGUGCCAGUUGUUCCAGGAGGGGUUGUAGAUUUUGUCGGAGAUGAGGAGUUUGGGGUUUGCUUUCGAUGGAUUCGCGUAUUGCAUGGUGAUCGCAGCGAUGAUCAAGACCGGCCGGAUGCAGGAGGCCGAGGAGAUAUUUGAGAUGAUGGUGAGUUCUGGUGUGAGGCAGGAUCUUGUGUCAUAUAAUACUUUGAUUAAUCUUUAUUGCAGGCAGGGGAGGCUUGAUGAUGUGUUGAGGUUGUUGGAUGAGAUAGAGGGGAAAGGUUUGGAGUGUGAUCAGUAUACACAUACUAUUAUUGUUGAUGGAUUGUGUCAGGCUGGUAAUUUUGUUGGGGCUCAGAGGCAUUUGAAUUAUAUGAAUACGCUGGGGUUUGGAUAUAAUUUGGUUGCGUUUAAUUGUUUGCUUAAUGGUUUGGGGAAGGUCGGGUAUAUUGAUCAUGCUUUGAGGUUGUUUAAGGUGAUGGAGGUGAAGGAUUCUUUUACUUAUACUAUAGUGGUGCACAACCUUUGCAGGGCAAAGCAGUUCCUUUGCGCAUCCAAGGUUUUGGUUUCGUGUUUGAAGUGUGGGUAUCAGGUGUUGAGGGCCACUCAGCGGGAGGUUAUUGUUUGUCUCCAGAGUAUUGGGUAUGCAAAUGAAGCGAGGAGAGUUAAGUCGAGGAUCAGGUUGGCACAGUUCGUGCCUUGAUUGUGUGGCAGUUGCUGUAGGGAAGAUUGGAUGUGUGGUGAUUAUUCGAGGGACCUUUGGUUGGACUGAAGUCAGUGAACAAAAGAAUGGAACUCUGAUCCUGGGGUCUCGUGAUUGAUGAUUGGCAAUUCAGCAUAACUGUCGUUGCAAGGGAGACUAUUAUGGUUGUGCUGCAGGACAUUUGAUGGAAACUAUACAGUAAUGCACAAGAUUACCAAAUUUGAAACGAUGGAAACUGGAAAUUUGGUACUUGUGGACAAUGCUUGGUGUGCAUUUGGAUAAUUUGAAAGGUUUGCUAUGAUUCAUAUUAGAGACCCAAUAUGAAUCAUAGUGGGUUCCAAACUUAUGAAAAUCAUAAUUCAUGCAUGCUGUUUAAGUUCAAAUAUUACCACUUAUUUUAUUUAGAACAUGCCACAAUUAAUGUUCUAACCAGCUAGACAUUCCAACAUUCUACAAUUUUAUGGUGGCAAAAUAGUAAGUACUAAGCAAUGUUCUGAUUUAUGAAUUGACAAAUAUCCAUAGUCUACCACUUAUUCUUAAAAUAUUUUUAAAUUUUUCUAGAUAUUUUGUUUGUGUUUCCAGGAUGGUGACUGAAUCUCAUAUAUAUGUCCAUUCUGCUUCAAUUGAGAAAUACAUUAAUAAAAACAUUCUUUAACACUCUUUUCAUAGUUGAACACAAAUUAAACUGCUGCAAUAAACAAGACAUCUUUGCACAUUAUGCCUUUAUCACAUAAUUUAUUGUCAAAAUUUGCGUUGCCAUUAUUUGCAUCACCAAAAUGUAGUCCACAACAUUUCAAUCACAUGCUUGAGAUGCUUUGUAACAUGAACUUUGAAGCAAAGUUGAAUUAUUAGACGCAUAGUUAUGCAAAACUGUUUGGCAAAACACCAAAAGAUCACUUGUGUAUGUGUGUAAUGCUGAUCAAUUAAAAGAAUUAGUACCUCAUCUAAGCCAACAUUUAGGGACAUUUUUGUCAUUGUAGAAGCUCUUGUAGCCAAGUUGGACAAGUUGCUGAACAGUGUUACCAGGAGAGCUUGGUAGCACCUUUAAAUCAUCAAAAAUCAAGUACAUGAUUUUCCACUUAACAAAAACACCAUCCCCACGAGUCCCUUCAUUAGAAUCUUCAUUCAGCAUUCUUUCUUUGUCCAUCAAUUUCCCACAGUAGCAACUAGUCUCAGCAAAAGUACUCAAGAACAAAUAACCAUCCUUUUGACAUUUGUUGCUACACAUGAAGUACUUCGUGGGCUCUGUAUCAUCCACUUUCAGCUUCUGCUUCUGGCAAAGUGCUUCACAGGAAUUGCAGGAAAAAGCAACAUUCUCUUGCAAAUAUGGUUCCAGAAAACCUCAUCCCUAAAAUUCUCCACGCUAUGGUACAAAUUGUUGAUGCAACCAAUCUUUUGUGCUUCAUCGUGCCCUUGCUUCUUUGAAACAAGCCUUGUGAUAGUUCCCAUUGGAAGGGUGAGAAAACCGAAUAAAAUGUCUAUCAAGUCUCCAUUUGCUUCAGCCACAACCACACGGUUUCUUUCUUUGUCCACCCAAAGGCUCAAGGGGAGCUUCAGUUCUUGCUCGGAAGCCAUGCAAACAAAAUCACAGAAAAACUAAGGAACAUAAAAGCAGAUUUAGUACAAAGAGUUACUAUAUCUCAGAUGAUUUUGUUGGAGGAAGGGAAAAUAUAUAAAAGAGGAUUUCUAUUUGUUGGCACACUUGUCACUAGAGUAGAAGGUGACCCGUAAGUUUCUAAACAUUAUUACACAUUACUCUAUGCAUUAUCUUUAGGAACUACUAAAUGUUAAGUGCCUUGAUAUAUGCGUAACUUUUUCAUGUAAUAAGGAAAUGACUGUAAGUGAAUGGUCAGUUAUUUAAUAAAUAUAUGACUUUCUAAUUUUUUUUUAUUUACUUCAUUUGUACUCCUUC